rnacentral:lncRNA from 1 species
AUGAGCAACAGAAUUUGGGUGAUACUGAACCCACAGAACCCCUGGAGCCUUGAAAUAAUUCAAGAAUACCUCAGUGGUAAGCAUACUGCUUUCCUACAUGCAUUUUUAAAAAAUAUUCCAUAUCUAUGUAAAAUAUAUUAUUACAUAUGAUAAUUUCAUUUAUCUGCUUCUUUCAUUGUGCAAUUGUCAAGGUAUAUAAAUAGAUGUAAGAAAAGGGUAGAAAAGGUAAGGUAUGGGUAUAGAAUUAUAUAUCCCUGAUUUUUUUCCCAAAUACUGAGGAUUGAACCUAGGCCAUUCAUACUGAGCUGUAUAUCCUGACCCCC